rnacentral:rRNA from 1 species
UAGCGGCAGGCCUAAUACAUGCAAGUCGAGCGCCCAGCAAGUGGGAGCGGCGGACGGGUGCGUAACACGUAUGCCAACCUACCCAUGACGAGGGGACUACCCCGUGGAAACGCGGAUCAAUACCUAUAGUAUUGUUGAUCGGCAUCGAUUGAUAAUUAAAGUUUUGAUACGGUCAUGGAUGGGCAUGCGUCCGAUUAGCUAGUUGGUAGGGUAAUGGCCUAUCAAGGCGACGAUCGGUAACUGGUCUGAGAGGAUGAUCAGUCACACUGGCACUGAGACACGGGCCAGACUCCUACGGGAGGCAGCAGUAGGGAAUAUUGGGCAAUGGGGGCAACCCUGACCCAGCCAUGCCGCGUGAAGGAAGAAGGCCCUCUGGGUUGUAAACUUCUUUUGUAUGGGGCUAAGAUGGUAUAAGAAUAUAUUAUUUGAAGGUACCAUAAGAAUAAGCCACGGCUAACUACGUGCCAGCAGCCGCGGUAAUACGU